GAUGAACGCUGGCGGCGUGCCUAAUACAUGCAAGUCGAGCGAACGGACGAGAAGCUUGCUUCUCUGAUGUUAGCGGCGGACGGGUGAGUAACACGUGGAUAACCUACCUAUAAGACUGGGAUAACUUCGGGAAACCGGAGCUAAUACCGGAUAAUAUUUUGAACCGCAUGGUUCAAAAGUGAAAGACGGUCUUGCUGUCACUUAUAGCUGGCUCCGCGCUGCAUUAGUUAGUUGGUAAGGUAACGGCUUACCAAGGCAACGAGGCAUAGCCGACCUGAGAGAGUGGUCGGCCACACUGGAAGUGAGACACGGUCCAGACUCCUGCGGGAGGAAGCAGUAGGGAAUCUUCCGCAAUGGGCGAGAGCCUGACGGAGCAACGCCGCGUGAGUGAUGAAGGUCUUCGGUUCGGAAAACUCUGUUAUUAGGGGAGAACAUAUGUGUAAGUAACUGUGCACAUCUUGACGGUACCGAAUCAGAAAGCCACGGCUAACUACGUG
rnacentral:rRNA from 1 species